CAGGGAGCUUCUGCCCAUGCAGAAGUUACCACCAGAUAUUGGCAGCCCUGCCAGGAACAGAAACAUUCCCAAAGCCCUGUGGUGCCAUGAGGUAUCGUGGUCUCGCAGGGGUCUUCAGCUUAACAGCUGUGUGCUGAAAAUACAACACAGUGGAGAGGAAAAAGUCUGGGAUGUUUCUGGAGCGUGUGGAAGAGAACUUUCUGACACAGCAGGUUCUGGUGAAAUGUAGUAAGGGAAACUAUGCAUUUCCAUGCAUGUAAAACAGGAAAAUGAUGUGAUUGUGGACAAACAAUGUCUUCCAUUCAGACAAAAAGAGAAGAAUAAAAUCUUAAUUUGAGAGUCAACCUUUCCAAGAUUAAAGGGAAAAGAAACCAGCUGAUGAGAAUGUUGAACUGUUCCUGCAGAAUGGGUAA